UACGUAGGGGGCAAGCGUUGUCCGGAUUUAUUGGGCGUAAAGGGUGCGUAGGCGGCGCGGUAAGUCGGGUGUGAAAUCUUGGAGCUUAACUCCGAAACUGCAUUCGAUACUGCCGUGCUUGAGGACUGGAGAGGAGACUGGAAUUUACGGUGUAGCGGUGAAAUGCGUAGAUAUCGUAAGGAAGACCAGUGGCGAAGGCGGGUCUCUGGACAGUUCCUGACGCUGAGGCACGAAGGUCAGGGGAGCAAACGGG
rnacentral:rRNA from 1 species